rnacentral:rRNA from 1 species
GAUGAACGCUGGCGGCGUGCCUAAUACAUGCAGGUCGAGCGAACAGACGAGGAGCUUGCUCCUCUGACGUUAGCGGCGGACGGGUGAGUAACACGUGGAUAACCUACCUAUAAGACUGGGAUAACUUCGGGAAACCGGAGCUAAUACCGGAUAAUAUAUUGAACCGCAUGGUUCAAUAGUGAAAGACGGUUUUGCUGUCACUUAUAGAUGGAUCCGCGCCGCAUUAGCUAGUUGGUAAGGUAACGGCUUACCAAGGCAACGAUGCGUAGCCGACCUGAGAGUGUGACCGGCCGCAUGGGGAGAAAGGAACGGGUCAGACCCAUACGGGAGGCAGUAGUGGGGAAUAUUGAAAAAUGGGUGGAAGAAGUAAGAAGCAAUGUCGCGAGCGGGAUGCCGGACUUCGGGGUGUAAAAAGAUAAAGACUGAGAAGAAGCGGGAGUGACGGUAAUGGGUAAAGAAGCAACGGAUAACUACGUG